GUAGGGGUGCGAGCGUUAAUCGGGAAUUACUGGGGCGUAAAGCGUGCGCAGGCGGUUCGCUAAGGCCGAUGUGAGAUCCCCGGGGCUUAACCUGGGAACUGCAUUGGUGACUGGCGGGCUAGAGUAUGGCAGAGGGGGUAGAAUUCCACGUGUAGCAGUGAAAUGCGUAGAGAUGUGGAGGAAUACCGAUGGCGAAGGCAGCCCCCUGGGCCAAUACUGACGCUCAUGCACGAAAGCGUGGGGAGCAAACAGGAUUAGAUACCCUGGUAGUCCACGCCCUAAACGAUGUCAACUAGUUGUCGGGUCUUCAUUGACUUGGUAACGUAGCUAACGCGUGAAGUUGACCGCCUGGGGAGUACGGUCGCAAGAUUA
rnacentral:rRNA from 1 species